rnacentral:rRNA from 1 species
AGAGUUUGAUCCUGGCUCAGGACGAACGCUGGCGGCGUGCCUAAUACAUGCAAGUAGAACGCUGAAGAGAGGAGCUUGCUCUUCUUGGAUGAGUUGCGAACGGGUGAGUAACGCGUAGGUAACCUGCCUUGUAGCGGGGGAUAACUAUUGGAAACGAUAGCUAAUACCGCAUAACAAUGGAUGACACAUGUCAUUUAUUUGAAAGGGGCAAUUGUUCCACUACAAGAUGGACCUGCGUUGUAUUAGCUAGUAGGUGAGGUAAUGGCUCACCUAGGCGACGAUACAUAGCCGACCUGAGAGGGUGAUCGGCCACACUGGGACUGAGACACGGCCCAGACUCCUACGGGAGGCAGCAGUAGGGAAUCUUCGGCAAUGGGGGCAACCCUGACCGAGCAACGCCGCGUGAGUGAAGAAGGUUUUCGGAUCGUAAAGCUCUGUUGUAAGUCAAGAACGGGUGUGAGAGUGGAAAGUUCACACUGUGACGGUAGCUUACCAGAAAGGGACGGCUAACUACGUGCCAGCAGCCGCGGUAAUACGUAGGUCCCGAGCGUUGUCCGGAUUUAUUGGGCGUAAAGCGAGCGCAGGCGGUUUGAUAAGUCUGAAGUUAAAGGCUGUGGCUCAACCAUAGUUCGCUUUGGAAACUGUCAAACUUGAGUGCAGAAGGGGAGAGUGGAAUUCCAUGUGUAGCGGUGAAAUGCGUAGAUAUAUGGAGGAACACCGGUGGCGAAAGCGGCUCUCUGGUCUGUAACUGACGCUGAGGCUCGAAAGCGUGGGGAGCGAACAGGAUUAGAUACCCUGGUAGUCCACGCCGUAAACGAUGAGUGCUAGGUGUUGGAUCCUUUCCGGGAUUCAGUGCCGCAGCUAACGCAUUAAGCACUCCGCCUGGGGAGUACGACCGCAAGGUUGAAACUCAAAGGAAUUGACGGGGGCCCGCACAAGCGGUGGAGCAUGUGGUUUAAUUCGAAGCAACGCGAAGAACCUUACCAGGUCUUGACAUCCCGAUGCUAUUUCUAGAGAUAGAAAGUUACUUCGGUACAUCGGUGACAGGUGGUGCAUGGUUGUCGUCAGCUCGUGUCGUGAGAUGUUGGGUUAAGUCCCGCAACGAGCGCAACCCCUAUUGUUAGUUGCCAUCAUUCAGUUGGGCACUCUAGCGAGACUGCCGGUAAUAAACCGGAGGAAGGUGGGGAUGACGUCAAAUCAUCAUGCCCCUUAUGACCUGGGCUACACACGUGCUACAAUGGUUGGUACAACGAGUUGCGAGUCGGUGACGGCGAGCUAAUCUCUUAAAGCCAAUCUCAGUUCGGAUUGUAGGCUGCAACUCGCCUACAUGAAGUCGGAAUCGCUAGUAAUCGCGGAUCAGCACGCCGCGGUGAAUACGUUCCCGGGCCUUGUACACACCGCCCGUCACACCACGAGAGUUUGUAACACCCGAAGUCGGUGAGGUAACCUUUUGGAGCCAGCCGCCUAAGGUGGGACAGAUGAUUGGGGUGAAGUCGGAACAAGGUA